GACGAACGCUGGCGGCGUGCUAAACACAUGCAAGUCGAACGGGAUCCGGGCUUUCGGGUUUGGUGAGAGUGGCGAACGGGUGAGUAACACGUGAGUAACCUGCCCCCUUCUUUGGGAUAACGUCGGGAAAUCGGCGCUAAUACUGGAUAUUCUUGCUGCAUCGCAUGGUGUGGUUUGGAAAGGGUUUCUGGUGGGGGAUGGGCUCGCGGCCUAUCAGCUUGUUGGUGGGGUGAUGGCCUACCAAGGCUUUGACGGGUAGCCGGCCUGAGAGGGUGUCCGGCCACACUGGGACUGAGACACGGCCCAGACUCCUACGGGAGGCAGCAGUGGGGAAUAUUACACAAUGGGCGCAAGCCUGAUGCAGCGACGCCGCGUGAGGGAUGACGGCCUUCGGGUUGUAAACCUCUUUCAGUAUGGAACAAGGAUCCUUCUUUUGGGGGGUUUGAGGGUACGUGCAGAAGAAGCGCCGGCUAACUACGUG
rnacentral:rRNA from 1 species